CGCCCAAAUGAUGUUUCUAUAAUUCUUCGUAGCAUCAAGCGUUGUUUCGUUUUUUUUUUUUUUUUUUCUUGUUUUUCACCUAAGGUUACGCCCGUUCCGGGAACAUCGAACGAACUUUUUUUGGCCUUAUCGCCCAUUAAUAGAUCUCUUCCGAAGUUGCAUCUUUCUCUUUCAACACAGAUUUUUAAGAUAAAACUGUAUUCUGGUUUUUAUUUCUCACUCAUUUCCAGUUAACAGUUCUUUAAGAAUACCAAAGUUUUAAGUUUGAAUCUGCCAACAUUUUUAGGUAUUGAAAAACUUACCCCGAGUGGUUUCAGAAGUGUUUUUUUAUGCCCUUUAAGAACAGAAUGAAAAAUUAUCUAUCGGAUAUUCGAGGAUGGCGUGAUUUUUCUUUAAUUCGUUACCGUAUAUAGGCAUUUGUUAAUUCGUUACCGUGAUUAAGUAAAGUUAUACUUUAUUUAAUUAUAUAACAGAUGUAGCCGUUCACUGGGGAACAGAUUGAUUAACAUAUUUUAAACGCGAAUAAGAAUAAUCCUGGUAUAUAUAAGGUCUUUUCUACGAAUGGAACCAUUUUUUUUUUUUUUACUUCUCCCUCUUCCUGCCUGCACGUUAAUGUAUACAGAAAGCUAUUGUACUUUUUAAAACCUGUGCCCGAAGGUCAACUUCCAGUCGAAUUGUUCUUUAAGUAAACUGUAUUUUAAUUUUUUUUUUUUCUUCUUCUUCUUCUGUUACUCCAUUUGUGGUAUAAUCGUACACUAAAGGAGCGAUCGGAAAAUCGGAGAUAUUUCUAAAACCGUCUCUUAAUGCGAUUUUGGUAUAAAUCCGUCGAAAUCGGAGUAAUGUUUACUCUGGAGUUUUGGAGAAUUUUGCGGCUUUGUUUACAUCCGCAACUGGAUCUAUUUUUCUAAAACGCCUACCCGAAAGUGUGACGUAACAUUCGAAGGGAUCACACACACCAGAAAAGCGGGACAACAGAAUAGGAUUUACUUGUACAAAUUUACAGUAAAGGCGACGUCAUCGAUAGAAAUUUCCCGGACGUCCUUGAGAAACCGGUUGUCGAUGUUAAUGAAACUUCGAGAUGUUCUGGUGUAUCUCUGUCUGUAUCUGAACACAGGACCAAUAUACGGAAAUACUUAAAUCAGACCUCUCUGAUACAUUGACUCUUUGUUUUAUUGUAUUCGUAACAGGUUCGAAAAUACUAUUUCCAUGUUAAAUUUUUUUAAAAUUGUCUGCGUGUAAUAAUUUUGCCAGGAGGCCCGAAAGUGUUUGCAUAAGGAGAACUGUAACAAUGUUUAAAUUUGUUAAAAUUUACGUGGUUUUUAUGCUGAACAUCAACUGUAGAAAACUGUUAAGAUAUAUGCAAAUUUAUAACUAUUUUUACAAAACAGAAAGAUCGGUCUCUGUGUUUGUCUGUAAAAUGUCUCGCGAAACACGACAGAACGUUUUUACAUUAUUAUUCAGUCUAAUUGUCUAUUGUUCUUUCGUUACAAGAUGGCGGAAAUUUAAAAUUUUAAAUAAUUCUAUAACUUUAAAAGUAUUUGUUGCGUGUAAAUGAUGUCAUACACAACGUUACUUAACACCAAUACAAGAGUUUCCACCUUAACAAAAUUCGAUAACAGCAAAGAUUUUUCGUUUGGAUAAUUGUUUUUAGUGUUACAGUAAUUGUUGCUAAAAUCCGGAAACCUCUUAUCCGGAUAAGAGUUUUACUGUAUAUAGUAUUCAUAUCAAAAUGUACACUGUAGCAGUUGUUUAUGUUUAAAACAUGUUUUUAGUGCGUAAAAUAAUUAAACGAGGAACAGAAAUCUUCAUUUUGUCAUAAAAUAUUGUGAUUACAAAUCAUUUUUAUUUUCAUAUCUGCAUCGAAAUGGUUUCACUUCAGUAAUCCUGAGGAACAAUAUCGCUGUUAGUCCAGAUUAAAAGACAUUUUUCUUGAUUUUUUUUAAGGUAAACUUAUCAGAUUUUCUAGCUUUAUCUCUCAC
rnacentral:lncRNA from 1 species